GUUGUGACAGACUGCUGUUCAUGGCUGUUUCCCCAAGGGACAGCAGAAAAACUGUUGCUGUUUAGUUGCCAGGCAAUAAGAAAUAGUUUCUUCCCAUGUCUUCUAAUCACAGAUCCCUUGGGGAAUUGAGGCACAGAGGAGACUAAGUGACUUACAGCUAAGUGACUUCUUCAAGGCAUUGAAGAGGCAAUUUUUUUGGUUAGCGAAUCUCUGCAUUGUGAAGUGCGUCUUUACAAGACUCCAGCAUGACAGUCCUCACAAACAGUGCCAGUUUCGGUACAUCUUCUAAUAAAGGUGUUGGGCCAAAGGGUUCAGGAUGGAGUACCAGACAGAAGAAGACCAGCAGCAGUGGAAAAUCAACUACAAACCACUCUACAACUACAACAAACACUAAGGGAAUAUGGAGUUUUUACACAGGUGCUUCUCAUGGGAUCAAAAUUGGCCCCUUUACAGUGUUGAUCAUAAGCAUUCUCUUCAUUGCUUGUGUAAUAAUAUUGCACAUUUGGGCCAAAUAUAAUCGCUCCUAGACUCAGCUGUUCCUAUGCAUUCUGCCUUGCUUUAGUGUACUUUACUUAACAGACUGCACAUAUGUUGUGAGGAGAUGGAGGGGAAAAAACUUGUGAACCAGAAAUAUAGUG